ACUAAUCCCUUCAUCACUCAUCUGUUGAACAUGCCAUUAGCAUACAACAGUCAGCAGUGAAUUUGAAAAAGUUCAACAAACCAAAUAUAGGAAUGAUCAAAACGCAAUAACAAGAGUGGUGCAAGUGUUAAGAGAGUGAGCUGAUUAUUCUCCAUAUUUGUUAUGUAAUGUUGUCACCUAGAGAAAAUUUAUGAAUGCGAAUUCCAUGUGGCAGGAAUUGGCAUCAUUUCCAUCAAAUAUGUUCCAUUUUCAAUAAAUAGGUUACAGUUUGCAACAAUAUAAAUCAGAUAUAAGAUAGGACUGAUUAUGGCAGCUAAUUACCCAGCUACAUUUAAGUUUAAUGCUG
rnacentral:misc_RNA from 1 species